AAGUCGUAACAAGGUUUCCGUAGGUGAACCUGCGGAAGGAUCAUUAUCAAAAGGAACCCUUCGGGGUUAAUCCUCAACCCUUUGUUUAAAUACCAUGCUUCUUUGGCGGGCUUGCCCGUCAGAAGAUUUCUCCAACUCCAUAAAUGUGUCAUCUGAAUAAACAUUAAAUAUAAUAAAACUUUCAACAACGGAUCUCUUGGUUCUG
rnacentral:misc_RNA from 1 species